UACGGGGGGGGCAAGCGUUGUUCGGAAUUACUGGGCGUAAAGGGCUCGUAGGCGGCCAACUAAGUCAGACGUGAAAUCCCUCGGCUUAACCGGGGAACUGCAUCUGAUACUGGAUGGCUUGAGUUCGGGAGAGGGGUGCGGAAUUCCAGGUGUAGCGGUGAAAUGCGUAGAUAUCUGGAGGAACACCGGUGGCGAAGGCGGCAUCCUGGACCGACACUGACGCUGAGGAGCGAAAGCGUGGGGAGCGAACAGG
rnacentral:rRNA from 1 species